AGGGAGAUGGCUCUUGUUUAAAAAUCUUGGGACUAUAGGAUUGGUUCAGAAAAAUGUAUUCUAUGAUGCCGCUGUAGAACAGCAUCUGAUUGUUCUGACACAAGGAUGGUGA